AAAGGGACCAUAACACGCACUUCCGGUGUAAAACCGCGCGCGCCAGAUUUGAACUCCGACCCGGAACAGCAACGCCAGCUGGGAGAGUCGAACAAGUCAAGCCAAGCCAAGUUCGUGCCGAGGAAGUGCAGGGCUAGAGGAGAAGGAGAAGAAGAGAGAUCUCUGUGACAUCCUGCUUUACCUGUAUCAAGCAUAAGAUUAUUUUAGAAGAUGGAAGAUCCUAGCUGCAGCUCUGGACAACACACGGUAAACCACACCGGUUUCAAACGCUACAUCUGUGGAGAGUGUGGAUACAGGACAGCUCAAAAAUCAAUCUUAUCCAGGCACAUGAGAACUCAUACAGGGGAAAAGCCCUACAGGUGUGGGGAAUGUAGGUACAGGACAGCUAAAAGGUCUAAUUUACUCGUACAUAUGAGAACCCAC